rnacentral:ncRNA from 1 species
CAGAGUAGAGGUUUAAGCGUUAAGUGCCUGCCGGACGGGGAGUUGUCGGCGGGACGAAAAGGGAACGGCUUUUGCAAGCCCUUGCGGUUUAAAUCUCGCAUCCCGCUG